ACUCGACGCUUUCGGUAGUGUAAGACCCUUUCGAUCGGACGAAUGCCUCGCAAGAGGAGUGACGGUACGUAGAAGAAGCCCGCUAACUACGUGC
rnacentral:rRNA from 1 species